GGACGCAUAGCUCAGUUGGUUAGAGCGUUCCGUUCACAUCGGAAAGGCCGCAGGUCCGAGUCCUGCUGCGUCCACCA
rnacentral:tRNA from 1 species